AAGGGACCGGUUCGCGCCGGUCCCGCGGUGGCAAGCAGAGGAAGCCGGUGCGAGUCCGGCGCGGUCCCGCCACUGUCACUGGGAGAGCGCAGCGCCCAGGAGCCAGGAACUCUCGCCGCCGCUUCACGUCGAGC
rnacentral:ncRNA from 2 species